ensembl:lncRNA
CAGAGACUUCAGAUCCUCCAGCAGACUUUCUUCUGCGGGUUUGUGAGGAGUUCGGCCUGAAAGGGAGGAGUGUGAAUAUAUUGUGGAUGAGGGACACUGGAUGAUGAUUGGAUGAGGGACACUGGAUGAUGAUUGGAUGAGGGGACACUGGAUGAUGAUUGGAUGAGUGGACACUGGAUGAUGAUUGGAUGAGGGACACUGGAUGAUGAUUGGAUGAGGGGACACUGGAUGAUGAUUGGAUGAGUGGACACUGGAUGAUGAUUGGAUGAGGGACACUGGAUGAUGACUGGAUGAGGGACACUGGAUGAUGAUUGGAUGAGGGGACACUGGAUGAUGAUUGGAUGAGGG